rnacentral:rRNA from 1 species
AUUGAACGCUGGCGGCAGGCCUAACACAUGCAAGUCGAGCGGAUGAAGGGAGCUUGCUCCUGGAUUCAGCGGCGGACGGGUGAGUGAUGCCUAGGAAUCUGCCUGGUAGUGGGGGAUAACGUCCGGAAACGGGCGCUAAUACCGCAUACGUCCUGAGGGAGAAAGUGGGGGAGCUUCGGACCUCAGGCUAUCAGAUGAGCCUAGGUCGGAUUAGCUAGUUGGUGGGGUAAAGGCCUACCAAGGCGACGAUCCGUAACUGGUCUGAGAGGAUGAUCAGUCACACUGGAACUGAGACACGGUCCAGACUCCUACGGGAGGCAGCAGUGGGGAAUAUUGGACAAUGGGCGAAAGCCUGAUCCAGCCAUGCCGCGUGUGUGAAGAAGGUCUUCGGAUUGUAAAGCACUUUAAGUUGGGAGGAAGGGCAGUAAGUUAAUACCUUGCUGUUUUGACGUUACCAACAGAAUAAGCACCGGCUAACUUCGUG